GCAAAGAUGAAAAAAGGGGCAGUAAUUAAAGUAAUAAUAUAUUUCAAAAUGCUACACAAAUAAUAAUGAAGGAGAACAAACAUUUAAAAUUUCCUUUAAAAGUGCCAGGUGUCAGGCCAUGAAAUAUAUAUAAACUUCAUCUUUGCAACCACCUAUUAUAUGCAUAGUUUUAUUUUACUGGUGAGUAAACGAAGGUUUGUAGAGUUUUGUUACUGCUCAAACAAUACAGUGUGAUAAGGGGUAGGCUAUGAUUUGAGCUGACGUUUUGCUUCCAAGGACACGGUCUUUCCACUCGUUGUUCCUGGUACCCCACCCCCUGCUCUCUAAAAUUUAAUUCUCUGAAAGAAAAGCAUCUGACUGGAAAACAGCAUUUUCUAUCAAGAGAUUUCCAUCAUCAGCUGGGAAUGUAUCAAUUGUGGGGAGCAUCUUCCUGAACCUUCAAAGCCUUUUCUCUGUCAGAAGAGAAAUCUCAACCUCAUCAGAAUCUAGGGUACUGGUUCCAUCUGCAAGUUUGACAUCUCAAUGUGAUUAGGUAGGUAGUCAAUUCUAAUUAACUCUCCUCUUCCAGCCAAUUCUGCCAAUACAUUGGUUCUAUUUUAAAAAUUCAGACAAUUCUUGUGGAAAAACAUCAUUCCAUCUCUCUCCAAAUACUUGUUACUUUGACUCUAAGACCUCAUCUUUAUUCUUAUCACAAAUUCCUCAGAAGAACGGUUAAAUUGAUUAUGCAUAAGAUGGUGACAAAGAAAUUUUGUUUACUUCAGAAUGGAAAUACAGACAUCAAAUAUAUGAACUCGUUGCUCUGGCUAACAUUGAAAAUCAGCACCAUACAAACUGUCAUAUGAUUUCAAUCUUAAUCCCAGGUGAGAUUGUGAGGAAGACAAAAUUUGCUUUUUAUGGCCCACUCCCUCCCUUCCCUCCACCUGCCACCUUGCCUUUAUAUCUCACCAACGAUGUUGUAUCUAACAUUCACAUUCAUUCUUUACUUCUUUCUUCCAAGACCUGGUUGCAGGGAAGAGUAUGGUAGACUCACUCAUGCUAAUGCCGUUGGAUCCCAGCUUGCCUCUUAUAGCUUCUUUCUCAGUUUCCCAUAUGUAGAUUCAUAAACAUGCUUGCUUCCCUCUCACCUUCCAUCCUUCUUUUAGGAUU
rnacentral:lncRNA from 10 species